AUUUCACUGGAAGGUCUACACCUGUUGUAUUGGGCGCAUGUGACAAAUAACAUUUGAUUUGAUUUGAUCCCCAAUUGUAGAGCUCCUGUCCUAUUGAGGGUCUGUAUGCCAAGUUGGUCGCCUGCCUUAUCUGUUGUCUUGGGCAUCAUAAGAAUAUGUUGGCAUCCACUGCAUCUCUCCGACAGUCCAAUCUGGCACCGCCACCUGAAAACGCAAGAACAGAAAGACACUUUUUUUUAGGGUUAGUGGUCUCGCUGUGAAGGUUUUUGAAAUGUGUGAAAGAAAAGAGAUGUAGACCCUCCUCUGCCACCAAUUUUACAGACCAAUUAUCUACUUGGAGUUCAACAAACAAACAGCAGCGCUGCUGAGUGCUGGCAGGUCUCUGGCUGGUGGGUGACCUCCGAGCCUCUCACAGGGCUUUUACACCAGAUCAAUUCCUCAUCACAAGAGCCAGCGCCAGCCCCCGCCAUGAUUCACCUUGCUCAUUCACCUGCCCUGGUCGCACGGGCGCCACACCA
rnacentral:lncRNA from 1 species